GAUGAAGAACGCAGCGAAAUGCGAUAACUAAUGUGAAUUGCAGAAUUCCGUGAAUCAUCGAGUCUUUGAACGCACAUUGCGCCCCCUGGUAUUCCGGGGGGCAUGCCUGUCCGAGCGUCAUUGCAACCCUCAAGCACGGCUUGUCUAAUGGGCGGUUCGUCUGCGGCCAUCCGCCGGAGACGCCCCCGAAAUGCAGUGGGGAUGUUCGCUAAAUCGCAGCGUCAGGAAUGGAAAUAAACAAUGCUGACGGCUCGAGGUCGAACGUCCACCUAAGGCGUGCCGCCCCCCCGGGGUGUGCCGCCCAACCUCUCUCGGUUGACCUCGGAUCAGGUAGGGAUACCCGCUGAACUUAAGCAUAUCAAUAAGCGGAGGA
rnacentral:misc_RNA from 1 species